rnacentral:rRNA from 1 species
UACGUAGGGUGCGAGCGUUAAUCGGAAUUACUGGGCGUAAAGCGUGCGCAGGCGGUUCGUUAUGUCCGUUGUGAAAGCCCCGGGCUCAACCUGGGAAUUGCAUUGGAGACUGCAAGGCUAGAAUCUGGCAGAGGGGGGUAGAAUUCCACGUGUAGCAGUGAAAUGCGUAGAGAUGUGGAGGAACACCGAUGGCGAAGGCAGCCCCCUGGGUCAAGAUUGACGCUCAUGCACGAAAGCGUGGGGAGCAAACAGG